GUAGGGGGCGAGCGUUAUCCGGAAUUAUUGGGCGUAAAGCGCGCGCAGGCGGUCAUUUAAGUCAGGUGUGAAAGGCUGCGGCUCAACCGCAGAGCGGCACCUGAAACUGGAUGACUUGAGUGCAGGAGAGGAGAGCGGAAUUCCCGGUGUAGCGGUGGAAUGCGUAGAGAUCGGGAGGAACACCAGUGGCGAAGGCGGCUCUCUGGCCUGUUUCUGACGCUGAGGCGCGAAAGCGUGGGGAGCAAACAGGAUUAGAUACCCUGGUAGUCCACGCCGUAAACGAUGAGUGCUAGGUGUCGGGGGGUCCUACCCUCGGUGCCGAAGGUAACCCAUUAAGCACUCCGCCUGGGGAGUACGGCCGCAAGGCUGAAACUCAAAGGAAUUGACGG
rnacentral:rRNA from 1 species